rnacentral:rRNA from 1 species
UUAAGGUAGUAGUAGUUAUGUUCUUGAAACUUAAAAAAUUUGGCGGUAUUUUAGUCUAUUCAGAGGAACCUGUCCUAUAAUCGAUAAUCCACGAUGGACCUUACUUAAGUUUGUUAAUCAGUUUGUAUACCGUCGUUAUAAAAAUAUUUUAUAAGAAUAAUAAUUUUUUAAAAUUUUUAUAAAAAUUCAUAUCAGAUCAAGGUGCAGCUUAUAUUUAAGUAGAGAUGGGUUACAAUAAAUUUAUUUAAAUGGAUUAAUUUUUGAAAAAAAAUUAUGAAGGUGGAUUUGAAUGUAAAAUUAUAAAGAUAAAUAAUUUGAUUUUAGCU